rnacentral:rRNA from 1 species
UGAGGAAUAUUGGUCAAUGGGCGCAAGCCUGAACCAGCCAAGUCGCGUGAGGGAAGACGGUCCUAUGGAUUGUAAACCUCUUUUGUCAGGGAGCAAGCCCGGGCUGCGGUCCGCGGUUGAGAGUACCUGAAGAAAAAGCAUCGGCUAACUCCGUGCCAGCAGCCGCGGUAAUACGGAGGAUGCGAGCGUUAUCCGGAUUUAUUGGGUUUAAAGGGUGCGUAGGCGGGCUUUUAAGUCAGUGGUCAAAACGGCAGGCUCAACCUGCUGUCGCCAUUGAAACUGGGGGCCUUGAGUGAGCGAGAAGUAUGCGGAAUGCGUGGUGUAGCGGUGAAAUGCAUAGAUAUCACGCAGAACUCCGAUUGCGAAGGCAGCAUACCGGCGCUCAACUGACGCUGAAGCACGAAAGCGUGGGGAUCGAACAGG